rnacentral:lncRNA from 1 species
UUUCUCCCCGCCGCAUUCCCGGUGUCGACUUACUAGCUGCAAGCCUCUGCCUGCCUUCCUGCGCGCCGUUCCCCGCUAGUCGCUGCUGCUGGCGCGCACUCGCCGGGUUUUUCCUCCCACGGCCUCGAGAUGGUGGUGAAUGUGGCACGGAGGAGCCGGGCCUUCCAACCCGGUGGGCCCGAGCUCCGAAAGGCCCCCUCGGCAGUGAGAGGGGCGGGAGCCCGCGGGGGCCGCGCCCUUCUCUCGCUUCGGACUGCGCAACGCUGCGCUCUGGGCUGACAGAUUCAUGUUACAUGUAAAGCUGUCCUCAUUUGUGACUAUGGACCUAUGGAGUUGGGACAAUCUCUAUGGGAAGCAGAAGGCAAGGACCCCGGUCAUUUUAGGUAGAAACAACAGCAUGCUAAUGCAAAAAAUUAUGCAGUGUGCUACUGAACUUCAGAGGUGAUCAAUAAAAGAAGAAUAAAAAGACUAAUAAAAGUA